UACCAUUUACCUGCCAGUGAGAAAGGAGAAGAAAAAACAUAGAGGGGAGCCAGUUUUCAUUGUAAGGCUGGGACCUGGAUGUGGUGCCCAUCACUUCUAUGAGCCUGAGCUGAUUGGCGUGGCCACUCCUAGCUGUAAGGGAGGCUGGGAACUACACUGCCCUCUCCAACUGCCUGCCCUGCUCCUGCUCCAGGAUGCCCCGUGUUACUGAAAAGAAGAGGGUAAACGGGGAUGGGGGCAAUUAGAAGUCUCUGCCACUGCUUAUCAUAAUGUGUGUGGCACCUCUCGUCUCUCUCUUUCUCCUGCUCCCACCAUGAAAGACGUGCUUGCUUCCCUUCACCUUCUGCCAUGACUCUAAGUUUCCUG
rnacentral:lncRNA from 1 species